GAUGAACGCUGGCGGCGUGCCUAAUACAUGCAAGUCGAGCGAACAGACGAGGAGCUUGCUCCUCUGACGUUAGCGGCGGACGGGUGAGUAACACGUGGAUAACCUACCUAUAAGACUGGGAUAACUUCGGGAAAACGGAGCUAAUACCGGAUAAUAUAUUGAACCGCAUGGUUCAAUAGUGAAAGACGGUGUUGAUGUCACUUAUAGAUGGAUCCGCGCCGCAUUAGCUAGUUGGUAAGGUAACGGCUUACCAAGGCAACGAUGCGUAGCCGACCUGAGAGGGUGAUCGGCCACACUGGAACUGCGACACGGUCCAGACUCCUACGGGAGGCAGCAGUAGGGAAUCUUCCGCAAUGGGCGAAAGCCUGACGGAGCAACGCCGCGUGAGUGAUGAAGGUCUUCGGAUCGUAAAACUCUGUUAUUAGGGAAGAACAAAUGUGUAAGUAACUAUGCACGUCUUGACGGUACCUAAUCAGAAAGCCACGGCUAACUACGUG
rnacentral:rRNA from 1 species